AGAGUUUGAUCAUGGCUCAGGAUGAACGCUGGCGGCGUGCCUAAUACAUGCAAGUCGAGCGAACCACUUCGGUGGUGAGCGGCGAACGGGUGAGUAACACGUAGGUUAUCUGCCCAUCAGACGGGGACAACGAUUGGAAACGAUCGCUAAUACCGGAUAGGACGAAAGUUUAAAGGUGCUUCGGCACCACUGAUGGAUGAGCCUGCGGCGCAUUAGCUAGUUGGUAGGGUAAAGGCCUACCAAGGCGACGAUGCGUAGCCGACCUGAGAGGGUGAACGGCCACACUGGGACUGAGACACGGCCCAGACUCCUACGGGAGGCAGCAGUAGGGAAUCUUCGGCAAUGGGCGAAAGCCUGACCGAGCAACGCCGCGUGAAUGAUGAAGGCCUUCGGGUUGUAAAAUUCUGUUAUAAGGGAAGAAUGGCUCUAGUAGGAAAUGGCUAGAGUGUGACGGUACCUUAUGAGAAAGCCACGGCUAACUACGUGCCAGCAGCCGCGGUAAUACGUAGGUGGCGAGCGUUAUCCGGAAUUAUUGGGCGUAAAGAGCGCGCAGGUGGUUGAUUAAGUCUGAUGUGAAAGCCCACGGCUUAACCGUGGAGGGUCAUUGGAAACUGGUCAACUUGAGUGCAGAAGAGGGAAGUGGAAUUCCAUGUGUAGCGGUGAAAUGCGUAGAGAUAUGGAGGAACACCAGUGGCGAAGGCGGCUUCCUGGUCUGUAACUGACACUGAGGCGCGAAAGCGUGGGGAGCAAACAGGAUUAGAUACCCCGGUAGUCC
rnacentral:rRNA from 1 species